AGGACGAGUUUGCCAUAUGCAGUCGCUGAUGUUGGAACUUGGGACAAGUAGUUUGAAUACAUUGCCCAGCACAGGCAGUCUGAAAUGCUGGAAUAAGACAUAUGGGGGUGCAAAACAGCAUGAAGCAAGCUACGUAUGAUUCGGGGUAAAGUCGCCAUGGUUAGCCCAGGCAGCCUUCCGGCACUUUGUCAGAGGCCAGAUCAUCAGAGAUGUGAUUUAGAGUCAUGAGGUAGCUGCUGUCAAAGAUUGGGCUCGAAUCUGACAAGCAGCCAAUAGUUUGCCUUUUAAAGAGUGCGGCAUAUCAUUCCCACAAGAAGACGUGCAUUGCCCCAUCUUCUUUGUCCAGCCACCUGGCCUGACUUGUAACAGGUAUCGGGAUUCCCUGCUGGAGUAGUUGUGUGCUAACUUCUUGGGUUCAACCACCAAUGAUGGAUUUCCCAAGGCUACAGCUACAUACUGAAGAUGAUAGUCAACAGUCAGCUUGUGAUGUAAGAAACGGGCAUUCAGCCGACGAAUAUAAACCAGCACAUCUUUACUGCUUGCUAGGUAUAUAGUUAUGAGUACAUGCAACUGUUUAGUUGUUGAAACUUUUUAAUUGUUUUCCCUUGUGUCAUCAGUAACAGCAUUUAGCCAAUGUAAAUUUUGAUGUAUUCUUAAUUAAGUUAUCAUGGAACCUUUGAAUAGAAUAAUGUAAGUGUUAAUAUCUGUAACAUUAUUGUUAAUUUUAUUAUUAAGCUAAAUAAUUUUUGUGUACAUUAUUCUUUCUUGAAGAAAUUUGUGAUAAAAUGAUUUCGCUUUCCAAGCACGUGUUCUUUGUACACAUGUUCAUGUAUUUGACUUUAUCUGUUUGUUGUAUCUGUUUGUUGUACAUUGUUAUACUAGUUGGAAACUGUGUAGCGCUAUGAUUGUAGCAAUUAUAUUGAUAAUUUGAUAGAAAAUGACUGUUCCACAAUACUAUUUAGUGUCUGUUCAUGUCAAUCUAGUCAAUUAAAUUUCAUAGUGUUGUGUUAAAAUUAUUGGAGAUUAUUUAAUGCAUGUUAUAUCAAUUAAAAAGUGAUAUUUCUUACAGUACAAGUAAUCCAACUAUUAUUCUCGUUAAGUGUUACAACUCUGAUUGUAUAUGAAUAUUGAAAAGUCAUAUAGAUCUAAAUAUAUUUUAUGCUGCACAAACUUUGUGUCAUGUUGAGUUAUUUCUGUUACUAUCCUAGUAUAAGAAACAUACAAUUGUAGUUCUCUAGAAUUGGCAGUUAUUUAAAUAUUUGUUUUGUUUUAUUUGUUGCAGUUUCUUACUGCCUCAAUUGUACCAACACAUGUAAAUAAAUACGACAAAUUUGCAACACGC